GGGUCAGUUGGUUGUUCGUGCCUCCGGUACGUACUGGUCUCACUGAUUCCUCCUUCCUGAAGAACCGUAAUGCCAUUAAUUUGGUGUUGCUGGGAAACAGGACUGUUACUUUGAAAAAAUUAGAGUGUUUAAAGCAAGCUAACGCUUGAAUACAUUAGCAUGGAAUAAUGAAAUAGGACGAUCGAUCCUAUUUUGUUGGUUUCUAGGAUUGACGUA
rnacentral:rRNA from 1 species